ensembl:lncRNA
UACGCAUCAAGCGAGUACUGUCGUAAAACCCGGAAGUGUUCUUGAUACGUGCUCGAUCUCGCCGUUUCACCGAGCAUGCAUCGGAGGUGGCUCGUGUGUACUUGCAACCGCUAUAAAUCCCAGGAUGCAUUUCGCACUCGCAGCAGUACGAUGGCGGACAAUAUGGAGAAGACGCACAACUGGACAAUUGAAGAAACAAGGGCCCUCAUCGAGUGGCGGGCGGCAAAUGAAGCUCGGUUCACUGGCCUCCGCAACUCCUCUGCUACGGGAUGGGAGGACUUAAUUUCCACUUCUGGCCUGGAUAUUUCCACCAAACAGGCCAUGAAGAAGUGGAACAAUCUGAAGCUCAAGUAAAAAUCGCUUAGGGACCCACCCACAGGCAGAGGGGUAGAGGCCGGUACAGCUACUGCCGCCACCUGGCAGUGGUAUGGUGCCAUGGAUGCUGCACUCCAGGGACAUCACUCCAUCUGUCCGCCCCUGGUUGUUGCAUCCAACAUGACUGCCACUACAGGUGGGGUAGUAAGCACACCGGCUUCUACCUCUUCUACUGAGGAGGCCGGGGGAAGCAGCAGCAGAAAGAGACCCAGGGACAGUCUGCUGGAGCUUUUGAGGGAGCAGGGAGAAAGGGACGAGGAGAGAGAGAGAGAGAGGCAGUGGCGAGAGAGGCAGAGAGGGAGAGGGCGGCAGCAGUCAGGGCUGAAUGGUACCUGUCCCUGUUUGAAAAGUGAAUCUCCAAGAUGUGAAUAAAUAUUAUUCUAAAUUCAUCUGCUCAUUCUUGAAAGCAAAAGUGUAUUUUUAUGUUACAUUUCACAUGC